rnacentral:misc_RNA from 1 species
GCUCCCUUGAUGAAUCAGAAUGGAUGCCCGCAAGAUUGAAUCGCUUGCAAUAUCUCCGUAAUGAUUCUGUUCCUAGUUUUGCCAAUUGCACCUUCUGAUGGGGGGCGUGAAUAAUUGAUUGAACAUCUCUGUAACUGCUACGACUUGUUGACUUUGCUAAUGGAAUGCAUGGCCUCAUUGAACGAACUCUUGGCUUGCUAAUUUUAUGGAACUCACUGCCACUAGAGAAAUCAUGGUCCUUUUCACCAAUGUCAGAGCCACUGCUAGUAUCAAAAUCAUUAUCUUCAUCCACUUCGUUCCCAGUAGGAUGUUCCAACACGCUUAAUGCAUUCCUUUGCAGCUUAACUUCAACNNNNNNNCCAGCCAAUGCCAGCCCCCAAGACCAACAGCCUUCUUGACCACGCCUUGCAAACCAACCAGCACAGACUUUGUUCUAUUGUUUCCAGUGACAAUGACUUUGGUGUGUCUAGGAAGCACAGAGAGCUCUUCAUCACCACUUUCCUCUCGAAAAGGAGCAAGUAUCCGAGAAGAAUAAAGCUGUGUCUCCAACAUCUUUACCCUCACAAUUUUGAUCAAAACCCAGUCC